rnacentral:pre_miRNA from 1 species
UGGAUCGGGUUUGAAAGGAGAGCUCUGCUUCCUCAUACAUACUCAUCUUUUCUAUGGAUAAGUAUGAGGAAAUGGAGAUCUCCUUCCAUUCCACCUGUUUUA